AACGAACGCUGGCGGAAGGCUUAACACAUGCAAGUCGAGCGCGCUUUCGGGUGAGUGGCGGAGGGGUGAGUAACGCGUGGGUAUAUGACCUUCUCUACGGAUUAGUCCUGGGUAAGUGGGGGUAAUAGCGACUACGCCCAUUGGGGGAAAGUAUGAUCGGGGAGGGAUUUGCACGCGUUGGAUUAGGUUGUGGGGGGGGUAAUGGCCUAGUAGCACGACGUUGCAUAGCAGGUGAGAGAGGAUGACCAGCCACACUGGGACUGAGACACGGCCCAGACUCCGACGGGAGGCAUCAGUAGUGAAGCUUAGACGAUGAAGACAACCCUGAUCCAGCCAUGUGGGGUGGGUGAUGAAUGCCGUAGGGUAGUAAGGCUCUUUCAGCUGAGAAGAUAAUGACGGUACCAGCAGAAGAAGCCCCGGCUAACUCCGUG
rnacentral:rRNA from 1 species